AUUGAACGCUGGCGGCAGGCCUAACACAUGCAAGUCGAACGAGUGGCGGACGGGUGAGUAAUGUCUGGGAAACUGCCAGAUGGAGGGGGAUAACUACUGGAAACGGUAGCUAAUACCGCAUACCAUCGGAUGUGCCCAGAUGGGAUUAGCUUGUAGGUGAGGUAAAGGCUCACCUAGGCGACGAUCCUUAGCUGGUCUGAGAGGAUGACCAGCCACAAGUGAACUGAGACACGCUCCAGACACCUACGGGAGGCAGCAGUGGAUAAUAUUGGACAAUGGGCUCAAUCGUGAGGCAGCGAUGCCGCGUGGAUGAAGAAGGCCUUAGGGUUGUCAAGUACUUGCAGCGGGGAGGCGUUACCCGCAGAAGUAUCACCGGCUAACUCCGUGCCAGCAGCCGCGGUAAUAC
rnacentral:rRNA from 1 species